rnacentral:rRNA from 1 species
GGGCCCGCACAAGCGGUGGAGCAUGUGGUUUAAUUCGAUGAUACGCGAGGAACCUUACCAGGGCUUAAAUGUAGUGGGACAGGUCUAGAGAUAGACCCUUCUUCGGACUCAUUACAAGGUGCUGCAUGGUUGUCGUCAGCUCGUGCCGUGAGGUGUCAGGUUAAGUCCUAUAACGAGCGCAACCCCUAUCGUUAGUUGCCAGCGGGUAAUGCCGGGAACUCUAGCGAAACUGCCGGUGCAAACCGUGAGGAAGGUGGGGAUGACGUCAAAUCAUCACGGCCCUUACGUCCUGGGCUACACACGUGCUACAAUGGUCGGUACAGAGAGCAGCCACUACGCGAGUAGGAGCGAAUCUUCAAAACCGGUCUCAGUUCGGAUCGCAGUCUGCAACUCGACUGCGUGAAGCUGGAAUCGCUAGUAA